UUUGAUUAUGGCUCAGAACGAACGCUGGCGGCAUGCCUAACACAUGCAAGUCGAACGAAGUCUUCGGACUUAGUGGCGCACGGGUGAGUAACAUGUGGGAAUCUACCUAGAGGUUCGGAAUAACUGCGGGAAACUGUAGCUAAUACCGGAUGUGUCUGUAAAGAGAAAGAUUUAUCGCCUUUAGAUGAGCCCGCACUAGAUUAGCUUGUUGGUGAGGUAACUGCUCCACCAAGGCUACGAUCUAUAGCUGAUUUGAGAGGAUGAUCAGCCACACUGGGACUGAGACACGGCCCAGACUCCUACGGGAGGCAGCAGUGGGGAAUAUUGGACAAUGGGGGAAACCCUGAUCCAGCAAUGCCGCGUGAGUGAAGAAGGCCUUCGGGUUGUAAAACUCUUUCAUCAAUGAUGAUAAUGACAUUAGUUGAAGAAGAAGCUCCGGCUAACUCCGUGCCAGCAGCCGCGGUAAUACGGAGGGGGCUAGCGUUGUUCGGAAUCACUGGGCGUAAAGCGUAUGUAGGCGGAUCAAAAAGUUAGAUGUGAAAUCCCUGGGCUCAACCCAGGAACUGCAUUUAAAACUAGUGAUCUAGAAUUUGGUAGAGGUUAGUAGAAUUUCCAGUGUAGAGGUGAAAUUCGUAGAUAUUGGAAAGAAUACCGGUGGCGAAGGCGACUGACUGGGCCAUUUUUGACGCUGAGAUACGAAAGCGUGGGUAGCAAACAGGAUUAGAUACCCUGGUAGUCCACGCAGUAAACGAUGAGUGCUAGUCGCUGGGCCAAUAGGCUCGGUGUCGCAGCUAACGCGUUAAGUUCUCCGCCUGGGGAGUACGGCCGCAAGGUUGAAACUCAAAGGAAUUGACGGGGGCCCGCACAAGCGGUGGAGCAUGUGGUUUAAUUCGAUGCAACGCGAAGAACCUUACCUGCCUUUGACAUCCUCGGAACGGUCCGGAAACGGACUGGUGCCUUCGGGAACCGAGAGACAGGUGCUGCAUGGCUGUCGUCAGCUCGUGUCGUGAGAUGUUGGGUUAAGUCCCGCAACGAGCGCAACCCUUGUCCCUAGUUGCCAGCGGGUUAUGCCGGGCACUUUAGGGGGACUGCCGGUGACAAGCCGGAGGAGGGUGGGGAUGACGUCAAGUCCUCAUGGCCUUUAUGACCAGGGCUACACACGUGUUACAAUGGGAGUUACAGAGGGAAGCUAAACCGCGAGGUCAUGCCAAUCCCAGAAAAACUUUCUCAGUUCGGAUCGCAGUCUGCAACUCGACUGCGUGAAGCUGGAAUCGCUAGUAAUCGCGGAUCAGCACGCCGCGGUGAAUACGUUCCCGGGCCUUGUACACACCGCCCGUCACACCAUGGGAGCCGACAAGGGCAGAAGUCGCCGAGCUAACCUUCGGGAAGCAGGCGCCCAAGCUGUUGUUGACGACUGGGGUGAAGUCGUAACAAGGUAGCC
rnacentral:rRNA from 1 species